GCAUGCUGAAUACUGUUUUGUUUUUUUAUCCAUAAUCUACACAGCCAGAUAUCAUGCCACAGUAUCGUUUCCCUUUAAUGCACUUCCGAUGUGCUGUGUCUUCUUUGUGGCAUGUCAUCCAUAGAGGCGAACACAAAG